rnacentral:rRNA from 1 species
GACGAACGCUGGCGGCGUGCCUAAUACAUGCAAGUCGAGCGAAUCUUUUGGGAGCUUGCUCCCGAAAGAUUAGCGGCGGACGGGUGAGUAACACGUGGGCAACCUGCCUAUAAGACUGGGAUAACUUCGGGAAACCGGAGCUAAUACCGGAUACGUUCUUUUCUCGCAUGAGAGAAGAUGGAAAGACGGUCUCGGCUGUCACUUAUAGAUGGGCCCGCGGCGCAUUAGCUAGUUGGUGGGGUAAUGGCUCACCAAGGCGACGAUGCGUAGCCGACCUGAGAGGGUGAUCGGCCACACUGGGACUGAGACACGGCCCAGACUCCUACGGGAGGCAGCAGUAGGGAAUCUUCCGCAAUGGACGAAAGUCUGACGGAGCAACGCCGCGUGAACGAAGAAGGCCUUCGGGUCGUAAAGUUCUGUUGUUAGGGAAGAACAAGUACCAGAGUAACUGCUGGUACCUUGACGGUACCUAACCAGAAAGCCACGGCUAACUACGUGCCAGCAGCCGCAGUAACAC